rnacentral:rRNA from 1 species
ACGGGAGGCAGCAGUGGGGAAUAUUGGGCAAUGGGCGCAAGCCUGACCCAGCAACGCCGCGUGAAGGAAGAAGGCUUUCGGGUUGUAAACUUCUUUUGUGAGGGACGAGAAGAAGACGGUACCUCAUGAAUAAGCCACGGCUAACUACGUGCCAGCAGCCGCGGUAAUACGUAGGUGGCAAGCGUUGUCCGGGUUUACUGGGUGUAAAGGGCGUGUAGCCGGGUCGGCAAGUCAGAUGUGAAAUCCAUGGGCUUAACUCAUGAACUGCAUUUGAAACUGUUGAUCUUGAGUAUCGGAGAGGCAAUCGGAUUCCUUGUGUAGCGGUGAAAUGCGUAGAUAUAAGGAGGAACACCAGUGGCGAAGGCGGAUUGCUGGACGACAACUGACGGUGAGGCGCGAAAGCGUGGGGAGCAAACAGGAUUAGAUACCCUGGUA